rnacentral:rRNA from 1 species
GUGGGGAAUUUUGGACAAUGGGCGCAAGCCUGAUCCAGCAAUGCCGCGUGCAGGAAGAAGGCCUUCGGGUUGUAAACUGCUUUUGUACGGAACGAAACGGUCCGGGUUAAUACCCUGGGCUAAUGACGGUACCGUAAGAAUAAGCACCGGCUAACUACGUGCCAGCAGCCGCGGUAAUACGUAGGGUGCAAGCGUUAAUCGGAAUUACUGGGCGUAAAGCGUGCGCAGGCGGUUUUGUAAGACAGGCGUGAAAUCCCCGGGCUCAACCUGGGAAUUGCGCUUGUGACUGCAAGGCUGGAGUGCGGCAGAGGGGGAUGGAAUUCCGCGUGUAGCAGUGAAAUGCGUAGAUAUGCGGAGGAACACCGAUGGCGAAGGCAAUCCCCUGGGCCUGAACUGACGCUCAUGCACGAAAGCGUGGGGAGCAAACAGGAUUAGAAACCCCAGUAGUCC